AAUGAACGCUGGCGGCAUGGAUUAGGCAUGCAAGUCGAACGGUACCCGCAAGGGUAUAGUGGCGAAAGGGUGAGUAACGCGUGAGUAACCUGUCCUGAGGUUGGGAAUAGCUCGGGGAAACCCGGAUUAAUACCGAAUGUGGUUGGUCGAGUUUCGACAUGAUCAACUAAAGGCCGCAAGGCCGCCUUUGGAGGGACUCGCGUCCCAUCAGCUAGUUGGCGGGGUAAUGGCCCACCAAGGCAACGACGGGUAGGUGGUCUGAGAGGAUGGUCACCCACACUGGGACUGAGACACUGCCCAGACUCCUACGGGAGGCUGCAGUCGAGAAUCUUCCGCAAUGGGCGAAAGCCUGACGGAGCAAUGCCGCGUGCGGGAUGACGGCUUUCGGGUCGUAAACCGCUGUCACUCGGGACGAAAGCAAUGACGGUACCGAGGGAGGAAGCCACGGCUAACUACGUGCCAGCAGCCGCGGUAAGACGUAGGUGGCGAGCGUUAUUCGGAAUUAUUGGGCGUAAAGGGUCCGUAGGAGGUCGCGCAAGUCUGAUGUGAAAUGCCAGAGCUCAACUCUGGACCGUCAUUGGAUACUGCGUGGCUUUGAGGGCAGGAGAGGAGAGUGGAAUACCCGGUGUAGCGGUGGAAUGCGUAGAUAUCGGGUGGAACGCCAAUGGCGAAGGCAGCUCUCUGGACCGUACCUGACUCUGAUGGACGAAAGCUGGGGGAGCAAACAGGAUUAGAUACCCUGGUAGUCCCAGCUGUAAACCUUGUGCACUCGGUGUGGGGGGAUUUGGUCCCCUCCGCGCCUGAGCUAACGUGUUAAGUGCACCGCCUGGGGAGUACGGCCGCAAGGCUAAAACUCAAAGGAAUUGACGGGGGCCCGCACAAGCGGUGGAGCAUGUGGCUUAAUUCGAGGCAACGCGAAGAACCUUACCUGGGUUUGACAUGCAAGUGAAAACGGCAGAAAUGUCGU
rnacentral:rRNA from 1 species